UAGCUUUGUCCUAAGUCAAUCUUCUUCAAGUUUGACCAAAUUAUAGAAAAAGACUAAGAUCUACAAUAUCAAAUGAGUAUACUAUGAAAAUAUAUAUAAUGGCAGAUUUAAUGAAACUAAUUUGGAGUCAUAGAUGUUAGUAGAUUUUUCUAUAAACUUGGUCAAACUUCAAGAAGUUUGAAUUAGGACAAAGCUAG
rnacentral:pre_miRNA from 1 species